rnacentral:rRNA from 1 species
UACGUAGGGGGCAAGCGUUGUCCGGAAUCAUUGGGCGUAAAGAGCGUGUAGGCGGCCUGAUAAGUCCGCUGUGAAAGUCAAAGGCUCAACCUUUGAAUGCCGGUGGAUACUGUCGGGCUAGAGUCCGGAAGAGGCGAGUGUAACUCCUGGUGUAGCGGUGGAAUGCGCAGAUAUCAGGAAGAACACCGAUAGCGAAGGCAGCUCGCUGGGACGGUACUGACGCUGAGGCGCGAAAGCGUGGGGAGCGAACAGG